rnacentral:rRNA from 1 species
GACGAACGCUGGCGGCGUGCUUAACACAUGCAAGUCGAACGGUGAACGAGGGAGCUUGCUCCCUCCGGAUCAGUGGCGAACGGGUGAGUAACACGUGAGCAAUCUGCCCCGAACUCUGGGAUAAGCGUUGGAAACGACGUCUAAUACCGGAUACGACGCGGGAGGGCAUCCUCUCCGCGUGGAAAGAACUUCGGUUCGGGAUGAGCUCGCGGCCUAUCAGCUUGUUGGUGAGGUAACGGCUCACCAAGGCGACGACGGGUAGCCGGCCUGAGAGGGUGACCGGCCACACUGGGACUGAGACACGGCCCAGACUCCUACGGGAGGCAGCAGUGGGGAAUAUUGCACAAUGGGCGCAAGCCUGAUGCAGCAACGCUGCGUGAGGGACGACGGCCUUCGGGUUGUAAACCUCUUUUAGCAGGGAAGAAGCGAAAGUGACGGUACCUGCAGAAAAAGCACCGGCUAACUACGUG